AAGCUCACUCACACUCAAUGAGUGGAGGUUCAAUCUGAGCUUCUCUCGAGUUUCAUUGCUGUUUUUGAAUAGCUUUCAGUGUGGUACUUCACCAUGUGACUACUCACCAUCCAGCUAUUCAAAAACAGCAUUGGAUUUGCGAGUGUGCACUCAAGAGAAGCUCAGAUUGAACCUCCACUCAUUGAGUGUGAGUGCGA